rnacentral:rRNA from 1 species
UACGAAGGGGGCUAGCGUUGCUCGGAAUUACUGGGCGUAAAGCGUGCGCAGGCGGUUUUGUAAGUCUGACGUGAAAUCCCCGGGCUCAACCUGGGAAUUGCGUUGGAGACUGCAAGGCUAGAAUCUGGCAGAGGGGGGGUAGAAUUCCACGUGUAGCAGUGAAAUGCGUAGAGAUGUGGAGGAACACCGAUGGCGAAGGCAGCCCCCUGGGUCAAGAUUGACGCUCAUGCACGAAAGCGUGGGGAGCAAACAGG